rnacentral:pre_miRNA from 1 species
UUAACUCAACUUUGUAUGGAGUUUGAACGUUUGCCUACGUUUGCCGCUGUUCCGACUGCAUACAAAUUUGAGUUA